rnacentral:rRNA from 1 species
UGGGGAAUUUUGGACAAUGGGCGAAAGCCUGAUCCAGCAAUGCCGCGUGUGUGAAGAAGGCCUUCGGGUUGUAAAGCACUUUUGUCCGGAAAGAAAUCCUUGGCUCUAAUACAGUCGGGGGAUGACGGUACCGGAAGAAUAAGCACCGGCUAACUACGUGCCAGCAGCCGCGGUAAUACGUAGGGUGCAAGCGUUAAUCGGAAUUACUGGGCGUAAAGCGUGCGCAGGCGGUUUGCUAAGACCGAUGUGAAAUCCCCGGGCUCAACCUGGGAACUGCAUUGGUGACUGGCAGGCUAGAGUAUGGCAGAGGGGGGUAGAAUUCCACAUGUAGCAGUGAAAUGCGUAGAGAUGUGGAGGAAUACCGAUGGCGAAGGCAGCCCCCUGGGCCAAUACUGACGCUCAUGCACGAAAGCGUGGGGAGCAAACAGGAUUAGAUACCCUGGUAGUCCACGCCCUAAACGAUGUCAACUAGUUGUUGGGGAUUCAUUUCCUUAGUAACGUAGCUAACGCGUGAAGUUGACCGCCUGGGGAGUACGGUCGCAAGAUUAAAACUCAAAUGAAUUGACGGGGUCAUAGCUGUUUCCU